CCCUUAGAGUUUGAUCCUGGCUCAGAACGAACGUUAGCGGCGCGCCUAACACAUGCAAGUCGCACGAGAAAGGGCUUCGGCCCCGGUACAGUGGCGCACGGGUGAGUAACACGUGGGUAAUCUGCCUUCGAGUGGGGGAUAACAUUCCGAAAGGAGUGCUAAUACCGCAUAAGACCACGCCCUCGAAAGAGGAAGCGGUCAAAGCUGGCCUCUAUAUAUAAGCUAGCGCUUGAAAAUGAGCCCGCGGAGCAUCAGCUAGUUGGUGAGGUAAUGGCUCACCAAGGCUUAGACGCUUAGCUGGUCUGAGAGGAUGAUCAGCCACACUGGAACUGAGACACGGUCCAGACUCCUACGGGAGGCAGCAGUGGGGAAUCUUGCGCAAUGGGCGAAAGCCUGACGCAGCGACGCCGCGUGAGUGAUGAAGGCCUUCGGGUUGUAAAGCUCUGUGGGGAGAGAAGAAUAAGUGCGGGCUAAUACUCCGCAUGAUGACGGUAUCUCCUUAGCAAGCACCGGCUAACUCUGUGCCAGCAGCCGCGGUAAGACAGAGGGUGCAAACGUUGUUCGGAAUUACUGGGCGUAAAGCGAGUGUAGGCGGUUUGGUAAGUCGGAUGUGAAAGCCCCGGGCUCAACCCGGGAAGUGCACUCGAUACUGCCAAGCUAGAGUAUCGGAGAGGUUGGUGGAAUUCUCGGUGUAGAGGUGAAAUUCGUAGAUAUCGAGAGGAACACCGGUGGCGAAGGCGGCCAACUGGACGAUACUGACGCUGAGACUCGAAAGCGUGGGGAGCAAACAGAUAGAUACCCUGGUAGUC
rnacentral:rRNA from 1 species